ensembl:lncRNA
GCAAGUUUACCCUUCUCAUCCAUAUCAUUGAGACAUUCCAGCUAGAAUUGUCAUCACACAUACAACUGGAGACAAUUGAUUGGUUAUGUAGAUAUUAAACACAAUCAAGCAUAUUGGUGCCAGCAAUCCCAAAUGCCCUUAGAUACAGAAUUUGAUUGUAGAUGGAAUUCUGCAGAACAGAUCCUAAUCUCAGUUCAAAGGAGCUGAGAUGUUUAAAAAAGUGCCCUGUUACAGUUAUAUUGAUAUAUCUGUAUUGCUGAUGUGCCUCCCAUGCUUCAGUCAAGAUGACAAAAGCUAAGAGAUAGCCAAGCUGGCACCAUCACAAUAUUUUGGACUAUAGCUUCCAUAAUCCCCUAGCACUGCUGGUUGGAAUUGUAUUGGCCAGGAUAGGCAACAUAGUAAUCCUACAUAGCAGGAGAGUACUAUAUUGCCUGCCCUGGCUAACAAGGGUUGGGAUCCCAUUAAGGACAUAUUUAGGAGUGUGUCUUACAUUCAUGCAUGUUUUGUUUUCAUGUGACUUCAGAAGGCUAGGUUCUAAUGAUUCCCAAACUUUAGCUCUUUGUGUGUUUCAGACUUCAACUCCCAGAAGUUUCAGCUUCCAGAGUUUGGGAAAGACUAUCUCUUUGUGCUCCCUCCCUCCCUCCCUCCCUCCCUCCCUCCCUCCCUCCCUCCUUCCUUCCUUCCUUCCUUCCUUCCUUCCUUCCUUCCUUCCUUCCUUCCUUCCUUCCUUCCUAUAGCUUUCAAGCCUUGGGAGGGACUGCUUACAGUGGGGUGGGGAAGAAGGCCGUUCAAGUCAUGACAUGCAGGCUCCAAGAGGAAGGAAAAGGAACACGUACUCCACCUCUGAAUGCACCCUCAUUUCUCCCCUCAAAGCCAAGUUCACCUGCAUUAUCAUUGGCUAAAUUGCUUCCCCCUCCCUGCCUCAUUCGUGGCCUAUCCUGGGGCUUACCAGCUUCUGGGAUAAGUGAAGAAUAUGGAACUCAGCAGCUGGAGCAUUAUGCACUGCUUGCAUGAUGUAGGAUUUUGGCCAAUGCCAUGCUCAAGAGAAGGACUGAUCUUAAAGAGUUUUUCCAUUUUCACAGCCAUUUUGUCAGGCUAUAAAGGUAGGUAUGCAUUUUUUGCAUGUUUGGAAGAAGGGUUUAAACAAAUCUUAUGACUUUCAGCAGCAGGGAACCUAGAGUCUUAUCUUCUUUUCAUGUCUACCUUCUUAAAAGGUUUUGCCACCGUAGAAAACUGCUGGCCACAGUUCUUUCUAAUGAAAUACUUUUCUUGGCUCUUGUUGCCCAAAAUGCAUCUGGUGAUAGAAGCUGCCUCAUGAUAUCAUACCAUUUAUGAUGAGAUGAUGGGGGAUAUUCUCACUACUAUACAAUAGAUCAGUGGGAGAAACCAUCUGCCCUCCUCUCUCCCCUGGUGUAAUAUAAAAAACGUAGUGUGAUUUGGUUUUCUUCUUCUGAUGCAUUGCAAGUGAAAAUGACUGGAUCCCACAGUGGUAAAAGAUGUUUGGCAAGGAAAAAUGGUGAGAGUGUAAAAACCAAUGACUCAUAGAGUACAAAGUACUAUGAUUAUCUUGUGAAUUUCUCCAUCCUUCAGUAUUUGUUUUGGACUCUUUUUUCUGCUUCCAAUUCACUACCACAAAAGAAACAGUAAAUGCAUAUCUGAAAUAAAGUCAUACAAAGCCCUAACUGUACAGUUUAGAUAGUUACUCCCAUGCUUAGUUAUUGGCAAACCCACAGCAGGGACUUCUUAAUGGUGAGAUGGAGUGAUGCUGACAAUAAAAAAAAUAUGAUAACAGUGAGCUCCUGGAGGAAAGAAAAGGUGCACACACUCUAUUUGAAAGCAUGUCAUCACAGUAUUUCUUCCCACCCAGAUCUGAAACCAGCUGCUCUGAAUUGACUCCCUUUACUUCCCCACCAGUAAACAACAUUAGCAAAGGGAUGUGGGGAUACAGAGCUGUAAGUAUGCAUUACAUGGGCAUGUAGGAUAUUGGCUUAAGUAUAAUUUACUCAACAUUAUUGUAGCUGUCUGAGCCAGCAUGGUGUAGUGAUUGAAGCAGGAUUCAAAUCCCCACUUGGCCAUGGAAACCUCCUGGGUGAUCUUGGGCAAGUCACCAGAGGCAAUCCCCCUCUG